GCGGGUGUAGUGUAGUCCGGUCAUCACUCUUGGCUCUUACCCAUGAAACUCAGGUUCAAAUCCUGGCGCCCGUA
rnacentral:tRNA from 1 species